CUCUAGCGGCAGCGGCGGUGGCAAUAUCAGUUUCUUUUUCCAGGGCUUCCAAGUCUGAAGCUGUCUCCCGGCCGGCCACGGAGUGUUCUGAUGUGGACUGGGCGGAGGAAGAACUCCGGUCCAGUGGAGUCCCUGGUGAGGUCGGAGCAUCCGACCUGCCCUCCCUCCCCAGGUCACCUCGCAGGAUUAAGGACAGUGCGGCCAGAUCGAGGGUGGAGUCUGCAGGAUUUUGAAACUGCAGCCCCUGGCAUGGCGCCCUAACAGAGCCUCUGCUCCUUGCCUGCAGUGUCUCCACUACCAUAGAUCCCUUCUGGGACAUCAGCUUGGAUCUGUCCAGCCGUUCCACCCCAUUCUGGCCCCUGAGCCCAGGGGGCGAGGGCAGCAUGGUGAACAAGGAAAGCCACGUGUCUGGCAACCACCACAAUCAUGGACUGCCUCGAAGGUGAGAAGCCUGCCUGCACCCACAUGGAAGGGGCUCAUCUUCCUGGCGGGAAGGCUGUACUUGAUGAGAACCAAAAGAGGGCUUUUCUUUUACAUGCCCAGGACAGAGCCUGAGCAAAGAUGCAGCACUAGCCUGGGUUGGCUAGUUUGUCUUCUGUUUUGGCCUGUCACUCAAUAUUUCUGUUCCCCAGCUUUGCACAGUGCUGGGUGUUGGUGUCAGCAGCUGAUAUUCCAACCUCCUCAUGUAAAUGAGUUGAGAGCCAAACUGGAUGCUCCUUUAGCUUUUGUAGUAAACACCAACCCUGGAGUGUGAGCUGAGAAAUGUCCAGCUCUCUCCCUGUGGUCCACAGCCUUCUCUGCACGUGAUUAAAACUUAGUUGUGAUGUUCUGUGCUUAGGGCCAUUUUUGAAAUUGUUCAUUUACUGCUUUAUUUGGGAUAAGUAAUAAGAUUUAGGAAGUGUUUUUUUUUUUUUUUUAAUGUAUUUAAGUAGCUGUAGCAUACAAUUGUAAAAGGAGCAGAAAACCUUCCUAAACUUUGUGUAGUGUUUUAUAGUCCUUGUUUUAUUUGCAUUAAUUAAAGGUAAUACAGAAGAGUCCUUGUUGAGUGGAAGUAUUCCUUGGAAGAGGUAUAAGCUUUUGGUUUCUGUCUGACUGCAUAGUCAACAGGACCAAAGUUGCAUGUUUAUUUUAUUUUUUGAGAUAGGGUCUUGCUCUGUUGCACAGGCUGGAGUGCAGGGCAUGAUCAUAGCUCACUGCAGCCUCAAUCUCUUGGGCUCACACCAUCCUCUUGCCUCAGCCUCCCCAGUAGUUGGGACCACAGGUGCGUGCCACCAUGCCCAGAUAAUUCUGUGAUUAAAAAAAUUUUUCUUUUUUUUUGGUUGAGACAGAGUCUUGCCACAUUGCUAAGGCUGGCCUUUGAACUUCUGAGCUCAAGUGAUCUUUUCAGCAUAGCCUCCCAAAAUGCUGGUAUUACAGACAUGAGCCACUGUGCCCUGCCAAAAGUUUGCAUGUUUAGAAUUUUGAAAGCAUCAACUUUGUAACACUAAGUCCACAUAAUAAAAUGGGGUAUCACAUUUUUAAUUCA
ensembl:lncRNA